AGGAUGGGCUGGAGAAGACCGGAUGGCCGUAAUGAGGAACAGUUCCUCCAGAAGAAGGAUCACGCAGGUAGGGUGUGUGCAGACUGUCUGAUGUAUAUACGUACAGGUAGGGUGUGUGCAGACUGUCUGAUGUAUAUACGUACAGGUAGGGUGUGUGCAGACUGUCUGAUGUAUAUACGUACAGGUAGGGUGUGUGCAGACUGUCUGAUGUAUAUACGUACAGGUAGGGUGUGUGCAGACUGUCUGAUGUAUAUACGUACAGGUAGGGUGUGUGCAGAAUGUCUGAUGUAUAUACGUACAGGGUUUGUUUUCUGCUGUAUUGACCUGACAUCGACCUGCUUCACUGUUUGGCCAAAGUUUCACUUUGUUUCACUGAGACCUGGUGGAAGCUGUAUUGGUUCUUAAAGGCUUCUGAGACCCCUUUGUUUGAGUUCUAUGAAUUCGCUGGGAGGGGUUUCAGUGUGUUUGACGCUAGUUAAGCCAAACGCAAGCAACCAGAGAGCCUCAUUACCUUCUUCCCCUUUCUCUAAGCUCAGGAUCGUAAUGAAAGCAUUGUGGGGAAGGCAGAUCUCACCGAUUAUAGCCCCAGCCUUUUCCCUAAGAAUGGCUGCCAGGAUAAGUGGAUCUGGUUCCUCGCAGAUUAGAGACGGACACGGUGGUCAAGUGA
ensembl:lncRNA